AUUGGGCGUAAGCGCGCGCAGGCGGUUUCUUAAGUCUGAUGUGAAAGCCCACGGCUCAUCCGUGGAGGGUCAUUGGAAACUGGGGAACUUGAGUGCCUUAGAGAAAAGCGGAAUUCCACGUGUAGCGGUGAAAUGCGUAGAGAUGUGGAGGAACACCAGUGGCGAAGGCGGCUCUCUUUGGUCUGUAACUGACGCUGAGGCGCGAAAGCGUGGGGAGCAAACAGGAUUAGAUACCCUGGUAGUCCACGCCGUAAACGAUGAGUGCUAAGUGUUAGAGGGUUUCCGCCCUUUAGUGCUGCAGCUAACGCAUUAAGCACUCCGCCUGGGGAGUACGGUCGCAAGACUGAAACUCAAAGGAAUUGACGGGGGCCCGCACAAGCGGUGGAGCAUGUGGUUUAAUUCUAAUUUACGCGAAGAACCUUACCAGGUCUUGACAUCGGCUGACAACUCUAGAGAUAGAGCGUUCCCCUUCGGGGGACAGAGUGACAGGUGGUGCAUGGUUGUCGUCAGCUCGUGUCGUGAGAUGUUGGGUUAAGUCCCGCAACGAGCGCAACCCUUG
rnacentral:rRNA from 2 species